GACGAACGCUGGCGGCGUGCCUAAUACAUGCAAGUCGAGCGAAUCUGAGGGAGCUUGCUCCCAAAGAUUAGCGGCGGACGGGUGAGUAACACGUGGGCAACCUGCCUAUAAGACUGGGAUAACUUCGGGAAACCGGAGCUAAUACCGGAUAAUUCUUUUCUACACAUGUAGGAAAGCUGAAAGACGGUUUACGCUGUCACUUAUAGAUGGGCCCGCGGCGCAUUAGCUAGUUGGUGAGGUACCGGCUCACCAAGGCGACGAUGCGUAGCAGACCUGAGAGGGUGAUAGGCCACACUGGGACUGAGACACGGCCCAGACUCCUACGGGAGGCAGCAGUAGGGAAUCUUCCGCAAUGGACGAAAGUCUGACGGAGCAACGCCGCGUGAGUGAUGAAGGUUUUCGGAUCGUAAAACUCUGUUGUUAGGGAAGAACAAGUACGAGAGUAACUGCUCGUACCUUGACGGUACCUAACCAGAAAGCCACGGCUAACUACGUGCCAGCCGCCGCAGUAACAC
rnacentral:rRNA from 1 species